GACGUAGGGGACGAGCGUUGUCCGGAUUCAUUGGGCGUAAAGCGCGCGUAGGCGGUUACGCAAGUCGGUUGUGAAAAUCCGGGGCUCAACCCCGGACCUGCAUCCGAUACUGCGUGACUAGAGGUAGGUAGGGGAGAUCGGAAUUCCUGGUGUAGCGGUGAAAUGCGCAGAUAUCAGGAAGAACACCCGUGGCGAAGGCGGUUCUCUGGGACGGUACUGACGCUGAGACGCGAAAGCGUGGGGAGCGAACAGG
rnacentral:rRNA from 1 species